rnacentral:misc_RNA from 1 species
UCCGAGUUGACCCCGGCAGUCUCCCAUGAGUCCCCGGCAUAACCCGCUGGCAACAUGGAACGAGGGUUGCGCUCGUUGCGGGACUUAACCCAACAUCUCACGACACGAGCUGACGACAACCAUGCACCACCUGUGAACCGGCCCCAAAGGGGAAGCCGUGUUUCCACGGCGGUCCGGCCCAUGUCAAGCCUUGGUAAGGUUCUUCGCGUUGCAUCGAAUUAAUCCGCAUGCUCCGCCGCUUGUGCGGGCCCCCGUCAAUUCCUUUGAGUUUCAGCCUUGCGGCCGUACUCCCCAGGCGGGGCACUUAAUGCGUUAGCGCCGGCACUCGGAGGGUCGCUCCCCCAAGCACCUAGUGCCCAUCGUUUACGGCGUGGACUAC